rnacentral:rRNA from 1 species
AGCGAACGCUGGCGGCAGGCUUAACACAUGCAAGUCGAACGGGCACCCUCGGAUGUCCGUGGCAGACGGGUGAGUAACACGUGGGAACGUACCCUUCGGUUCGGAAUUACUUAGGGAAACUUGAGCUAAUACCGGAUACGCCCCCUUGGGGGAAGGUUUACUGCCGAAGGAACGGCCCGCGUCUUAUUAGCUUGUUGGUGGGGGAACGGCCUACCAAGGCGACGAUUAGUAGCUGGUCUGAGAGGAUGAUCAGCCACACUGGGACUGAGACACGGCCCAGACUCCUACGGGAGGCAGCAGUGGGGAAUAUUGGACAAUGGGCGCAAGCCUGAUCCAGCCAUGCCGCGUGAGUGAUGAAGGCCUUAGGGUUGUAAAGCUCUUUUGUCCGGGACGAUAAUGACGGUACCGGAAGAAUAAGCCCCGGCUAACUUCGUG